rnacentral:tRNA from 1 species
GCCCCCAUCGUCUAGCCAGGUCCAGGACACCGGCCUUUCACGCCGGCGACAGGGGUUCAAAUCCCCCUUGGGGGGCG